UCUGACCGAGCAGAACAGCAGCAGCAGCAAGUUUCCCUCCAUGAUCGCUAACUUCACUGAAACGGCUCCACUAGCUGAAGACACUUUAAGGGAAAUUGUGUCCUACAGAACGAACAAACAUCAGUUGUUCCUGUUCAUCCAGGGGCUGCGGAAGAAGAGAAGAGCAGAUCCACUAGUGAUGGAUGAUUAGGAUCUGUGUUCACUGUGAUAUUAUUCACCAACAAUAAUGUAGCUUAUUAGUACGGUGUUACAUAAAACCCUAAAGAUGAAAUGUACACUUCCAACUGUUGUGACCUGCAUCUAAUAACACAACAAUUUUAUCGCUUGUACGUGUAACGGUGACAAACAAUCAAAAGAGAUAUUGAGAUUGAGUCCGCAACAUUUUAAUUUAAUAAUUGUUACAAAGUAACUCCGUUAGCGGUCUCGUUCCUAACAGCCGUUAGAAAAAAAAGCACACUCGCCAACGUUCCACAACCGUCGUUAAUUAGCAACGGCGGAGUGAUAUUGACCCCCUCCGCAACCACGUCAACCUGCGACACCACUAGUAAAUAACACACAACGAAACACAAAACAGUAUUAAUAAACACAAAACAGUAUUAAU